GUCAGAGCCCGAUCUAUGGGUGAUGGCGUGCCUUUUGUAGAAUGAACCGGCGAGUUACGUUUAACAUGCAAGGUUAAGGUGAGAAGCCGGAGCCGCAGCGAAAGCGAGUCUGAAUAGGGCGACUAAGUAUGUGGACGUAGACCCGAAACCGUGUGAUCUACCCCUGUCCAGGGUGAAGGUGCGGUAACACGCACUGGAGGCCCGAACCCACGCAUGUUGAAAAAUGCGGGGAUGAGGUGGGGGUAGCGGAGAAAUUCCAAUCGAACUCGGAGAUAGCUGGUUCUCCCCGAAAUAGCUUUAGGGCUAGCCUCGGUGAAUGGAGUGGUGGAGGUAGAGCACUGAUUGGGUGCGGGGCCCGCAAGGGUUACCAAGCUCAGUCAAACUCCGAAUGCCAUUAACUUCUUGCCGGGAGUCAGACAGUGAGUGCUAAGAUCCAUUGUCAAAAGGGAAACAGCCCAGACCAUCAGCUAAGGUCCCCAAGUGUGUGUUAAGUGGGAAAGGAUGUGGAGUUGCACAGACAACCAGGAUGUUGGCUUAGAAGCAGCCACCAUUGAAAGAGUGCGUAAUAGCUCACUGGUCGAGUGACUCUGCGCCGAAAAUGUAACGGGGCUAAACACACCACCGAAGCUAUGGCUAGGAUCGACUUCACUGCGCCUUUGAGGCGUGUUUAUCCGGAUUGACAUUGAUGCCGUACAUCAUCCACAGGGAUGAAAGGCUAAAUGCUUCCAGGGGAUAAACACAAGGCUUCGAAGCUGGAGUGAAGUCGAUCCUGGGGUAGGGGAGCGUUGUAUGUAGGUUGAAGGUGUACCGUAAGGAGCGCUGGACAGCAUACAAGUGAGAAUGCCGGU
rnacentral:ncRNA from 1 species